rnacentral:rRNA from 1 species
CAAACGACUCUCGGCAACGGAUAUCUCGGCUCACGCAUCGAUGAAGAACGUAGCAAAAUGCGAUACUUGGUGUGAAUUGCAGAAUCCCGUGAACCAUCGAGUUUUUGAACGCAAGUUGCGCCCGAAGCCAUCCGGCUAAGGGCACGUCUGCCUGGGCGUCACG